CCUUUCCGAAGGUGGGCGAACGGGUGAGUAACACGUGGGUGAUCUGCCCUGCACUUCGGGAUAAGCCUGGGAAACUGGGUCUAAUACCGGAUAGGACCACGGGAUGCAUGUCUUGUGGUGGAAAGCGCUUUAGCGGUGUGGGAUGAGCCCGCGGCCUAUCAGCUUGUUGGUGGGGUGACGGCCUACCAAGGCGACGACGGGUAGCCGGCCUGAGAGGGUGUCCGGCCACACUGGGACUGAGAUACGGCCCAGACUCCUACGGGAGGCAGCAGUGGGGAAUAUUGCACAAUGGGCGCAAGCCUGAUGCAGCGACGCCGCGUGGGGGAUGACGGCCUUCGGGUUGUAAACCUCUUUCACCAUCGACGAAGGUCCGGGUUCUCUCGGAUUGACGGUAGGUGGAGAAGAAGCACCGGCCAACUACGUGCCAGCAGCCGCGGUAAUACGUAGGGUGCGAGCGUUGUCCGGAAUUACUGGGCGUAAAGAGCUCGUAGGUGGUUUGUCGCGUUGUUCGUGAAAUCUCACGGCUUAACUGUGAGCGUGCGGGCGAUACGGGCAGACUAGAGUACUGCAGGGGAGACUGGAAUUCCUGGUGUAGCGGUGGAAUGCGCAGAUAUCAGGAGGAACACCGGUGGCGAAGGCGGGUCUCUGGGCAGUAACUGACGCUGAGGAGCGAAAGCGUGGGGAGCGAACAGGAUUAGAUACCCUGGUAGUCCACGCCGUACACGGUGGGUACUAGGUGUGGGUUUCCUUCCUUUGGAUCCGUGCCGUAGCUAACGCAUUAAGUACCCCGGCUGGGGAGUACGGCCGCAAGGCUAAACUCAAGGAAUGGACGGGGCCGCACAGCGCGAGCAUGUGAUAUCGAUGCAACGCGACAUCUACUGG
rnacentral:rRNA from 1 species